CCUACGGGCAGCAGCAGUGGGGAAUAUUGGACAAUGGGGGCAACCCUGAUCCAGCCAUGCCGCGUGUGUGAAGAAGGCCCUCGGGUUGUAAAGCACUUUCAGUGAGGAAGAACGCCUGGUGGUUAAUACCCAUCAGGAAAGACAUCACUCACAGAAGAAGCACCGGCUAACUCCGUGCCAGCAGCCGCGGUAAUACGGAGGGUGCGAGCGUUAAUCGGAAUUACUGGGCGUAAAGCGCGCGUAGGUGGCUUGAUAAGCCGGUUGUGAAAGCCCCGGGCUCAACCUGGGAACGGCAUCCGGAACUGUCAAGCUAGAGUGCAGGAGAGGAAGGUAGAAUUCCCGGUGUAGCGGUGAAAUGCGUAGAGAUCGGGAGGAAUACCAGUGGCGAAGGCGGCCUUCUGGACUGACACUGACACUGAGGUGCGAAAGCGUGGGUAGCAAACAGGAUUAGAUACCCCAGUAGUC
rnacentral:rRNA from 1 species